UGCCAGCCGCCGCGGUAAUACGGAGGGUGCCAACGUUGUUCGGAAUUACUGGGCGUAAAGCGCGUGUAGGCGGCUUGAUAAGUCGGAUGUGAAAGCCCUCGGCUCAACCGGGGAAGUGCAUCCGAUACUGUCAAGCUUGAGUACCGGAGAGGAAAGGGGAAUUCCCGGUGUAGAGGUGAAAUUCGUAGAUAUCGGGAGGAACAUCAGCGGCGAAGGCGCCUUUCUGGACGGAUACUGACGCUGAGACGCGACAGCGUGGGGAGCAAACUGGAUUAGAUA
rnacentral:rRNA from 1 species